rnacentral:rRNA from 1 species
CCAGCAGCUGCGGUAAUUCCAGCUCCAAUAGCGUAUAUUUAAGUUGUUGCAGUUAAAAAGCUCGUAGUUGGAUUUCGGGUGGGUGAUAGCGGUCCGGCUCUGCUGUGUACUGCUAUUGCCUACCUUUCUGCCGGGGACGGUCUCUUGGGCUUCAUUGUCCGGGAAUCGGAGUCGGCGAGGUUACUUUGAGUAAAUUAGAGUGUUCAAAGCAGGCGUUCGCUAUGAAUACAUUAGCAUGGAAUAACAUGAUAGGACUCUGGCUUAUCUUGUUGGUCUGUAAGACCGGAGUAAUGAUUAAGAGGGACAGUCGGGGGCAUUCGUAUUUCAUUGUCAGAGGUGAAAUUCUUGGA